rnacentral:rRNA from 1 species
UUCCUACGGGAGGCAGCAGUGGGGAAUAUUGGGCAAUGGGCGGAAGCCUGACCCAGCAACGCCGCGUGAAGGAAGAAGGCCCUCGGGUUGUAAACUUCUUUUCUAUAGGACGAAGAAGUGACGGUACUAUAGGAAUAAGCCACGGCUAACUACGUGCCAGCAGCCGCGGUAAUACGUAGGUGGCGAGCGUUAUCCGGAUUUACUGGGUGUAAAGGGCGUGUAGGCGGGAGAGCAAGUCAGAUGUGAAAACUACAGGCUUAACCUGUAGCCUGCAUUUGAAACUGUUCUUCUUGAGUGAUGGAGAG